UGGGUCAGCGACUUAUAUUCUGUAGCAAGGUUAACCGAAUAGGGGAGCCGGAGGGAAACCGAGUCUUAACCGGGCGUUAAGUUGCAGGGUAUAGACCCGAAACCCGGUGAUCUAGCCAUGGGCAGGUUGAAGGUUGGGUAACACUAACUGGAGGACCGAACCGACUAAUGUUGAAAAAUUAGCGGAUGACCUGUGGCUGGGGGUGAAAGGCCAAUCAAACCGGGAGAUAGCUGGUUCUCCCCGAAAGCUAUUUAGGUAGCGCCUCGUGAAUUCAUCUCCGGGGGUAGAGCACUGUUUCGGCUAGGGGGCCAUCCCGGCUUACCAACCCGAUGCAAACUGCGAAUACCGGAGAAUGUUAUCACGGGAGACACACGGCGGGUGCUAACGUCCGUCGUGAAGAGGGAAACAACCCAGACCGCCAGCUAAGGUCCCAAAGUCAUGGUUAAGUGGGAAACGAUGUGGGAAGGCCCAGACAGCCAGGAUGUUGGCUUAGAAGCAGCCAUCAUUUAAAGAAAGCGUAAUAGCUCACUGGUCGAGUCGGCCUGCGCGGAAGAUGUAACGGGGCUAAACCAUGCACCGAAGCUGCGGCAGCGACGCUGAUGCGUUGUUGGGUAGGGGAGCGUUCUGUAAGCCUGCGAAGGUGUGUCGUGAGGCAUGCUGGAGGUAUCAGAAGUGCGAAUGCUGACAUAAGUAACGAUAAAGCGGGUGAAAAGCCCGCUCGCCGGAAGACCAAGGGUUCCUGUCCAACGUUAAUCGGGGCAGGGUGAGUCGACCCCUAAGGCGAGGCCGAAAGGCGUAGUCGAUGGGAAACGGGUUAAUAUUCCCGUACUUGGUGUUACUGCGAAGGGGGGACGGAGAAGGCUAUGUUGGCCGGGCGACGGUUGUCCCGGUUUAAGCGUGUAGGUGUGUGUUCCAGGUAAAUCCGGUUCACUUUAACACUGAGGCGUGAUGACGAGGCACUACGGUGCUGAAGCAACAAAUGCCCUGCUUCCAGGAAAAGCCUCUAAGCAUCAGGUAACAUCAAAUCGUACCCCAAACCGACACAGGUGGUCAGGUAGAGAAUACCAAGGCGCUUGAGAGAACUCGGGUGAAGGAACUAGGCAAAAUGGUGCCGUAACUUCGGGAGAAGGCACGCUGACACGUAGGUGAAGUGAUUUACUCAUGGAGCUGAAGUCAGUCGAAGAUACCAGCUGGCUGCAACUGUUUAUUAAAAACACAGCACUGUGCAAACACGAAAGUGGACGUAUACGGUGUGACGCCUGCCCGGUGCCGGAAGGUUAAUUGAUGGGGUCAGCGCAAGCGAAGCUCCUGAUCGAAGCCCCGGUAAACGGCGGCCGUAACUAUAACGGUCCUAAGGUAGCGAAAUUCCUUGUCGGGUAAGUUCCGACCUGCACGAAUGGCGUAAUGAUGGCCAGGCUGUCUCCACCCGAGACUCAGUGAAAUUGAACUCGCUGUGAAGAUGCAGUGUACCCGCGGCAAGACGGAAAGACCCCGUGAACCUUUACUAUAGCUUGACACUGAACAUUGAGCCUUGAUGUGUAGGAUAGGUGGGAGGCUUUGAAGUGUGGACGCCAGUCUGCAUGGAGCCGGCCUUGAAAUACCACCCUU
rnacentral:rRNA from 1 species